GCGGGGGCCGGGGUGGGGGUGUCUCGCCGCGCGCGCCCUCCUCCCGCUCCUCCGGGUUCCUGGUCCCCAGCCUGUGGGGGGCUUGGGCUGUAGCGCUGGGGCGGGGGCUUUAGAUCACCCCGAAAACAGGACCUCUGGCGACCUUCUCGUUUUCCACCGGGAGCGGAGAGAGCCGAUCUCCUUUUCCUGCUAGCCCCGUAGGACAGUCCCCGGAGCAGCUCAUAGGAAUAUGACGAACGUUUACUCAGGGCUGGUUACUAUGUACACUGCGCCCCGCGCGCGGCGAGUUUACCUCGGUUCACCUCCCGGCAACCGGCGGCCCGGAUAUUAUCAGAUGCUGUGGGCUUCCCGGCGCCUCAUUGCCCGAGGAGAGGCGGCCGCAGUUGCUGAUGGGAAGGCAGAAAAGUAC
rnacentral:lncRNA from 1 species